rnacentral:rRNA from 1 species
UACGGUGGGAGCAAGCGUUGUUCGGAUUUACUGGGCGUAAAGGGCGCGUAGGCGGCCACCGCAAGUCGGUUGUGAAAUCUCCGGGCUUAACCCGGAAAGGUCAGCCGAUACUGCGGGGCUAGAGUGCAGAAGGGGCAACUGGAAUUCUCGGUGUAGCGGUGAAAUGCGUAGAUAUCGAGAGGAACACCUGCGGCGAAGGCGGGUUGCUGGGCUGACACUGACGCUGAGGCGCGAAAGCUAGGGGAGCGAACGGG